GCUAGGUGAAGAGAGAAGAUGACUAGGUCUACGGAGGCCCCUGGGUGGGAAAAGUUUCCUGCUAGAGGGGGGUAUACUGUUCAACCUGUUCCAGCACCGGCUUCUACUGCGGUUGAUGCUAUUAGUAGUAGGAAAGAAGGGGGAAGGAGUCAGAAACUUAUGUUGUUUAAACGGGGGAAUGCUAUAUCAGGAGCGCCAAUUAUUAGAGGCACUAAUCAAUUUCCGAAGCCCCCGAUUAUAAUAGGUAUAACCAUGAAAAAGAUUAUGACGAACGCAUGGGCCGUUUUUCCUAAUGUCUAAAGAGCUGUCCCUCUUUAGACUAACAAUUAAGUUUACAGGGGGAUUAGGUUGUUCUGCAGGUAAACUUAAGGUUGAACUAAGAUUCUAUCUUGGAUAACCAGCUAUCACCAGGCUCGAUAGGCUUGUCACCUCUACCCAGAAAUCUUCCCACUAUUUUGCCACAUAGACGGGUGCGCUCUUUUAGCUGUUUUGGGGUAGCUCGUCUGGUUUCGGGAAAUUUGGCUUUAGUUCUCUUUGUGAAAUUGUCUCUAGCUAAUUCAUUAUGCAAAAGGUACAGGGGUUAGUCCUUGCUACUUUGUGCUUGGGUGGUUUUCUAUCUUUCCCUUACGGUACUGUAUCUAUAGCGCCAGGUUAAAAUUUCUAUCGCCUAUACUUUGCACGGGUCAAUGGUUUGGUGUAUAUGUGAGUUUGAUAUUAGUGUUGGUUAUGCUUGGGGCUAGUGUUAGCUCAAGGUCAUCAAGCAACGUUGAGAUCUUCUGAGUGUAAGUCAGAUGCUUUAUGUUAAGCUAUACCUUGAUUUGUCCAAGUGCACCUUCCAGUACACUUACCGUGUUACGACUUAUCCCCUCUAUAUAAAUGUUAGGGCAUUUAGUUAAGUUAUUCCUUAAAUAUAUUUGAGGGGAGUGACGGGCGGUGUGUGCGUGCUUUAUGGCCUAGUUCAAUUAAGCACUCUAUUCUUAAUUUACUGCUAAAUCCUCCUUGGGCUCCUAGAUUUCAUAAGAGCUAUCGUGGGGUUUUCUGAAGUAGAAAAUGUAGCCCAUUUUUACCGUCUCAUAAGUUACACCUUGACCUAACGUUUUUGCGGGGGAGGGCAUUUGCGCUCACUUCGUAGCCUUCAUCAGGGUUUGCUGAAGAUGGCGGUAUAUAGACUAAGCAAGAGAGGGUGGGGUGGAUCGGGGUUUAUCGAUUACAGAACAGGCUCCUCUAGGGGGAUAUGAAGCACCGCCAAGUCCUUUGAGUUUUAAGCUGUUGCUUGUAGUAUUCUGGCGAGUAGUUUUGUUGUUUUAACUAUUGAGGUUUAAGGCCAAGCAUAGUGGGGUGUCUAAUCCCAGUUUGGGUCUUGGCUGUUGUGUAUUCAGAAAUUAUAAAGCCACUUUCGUAGUUUAUUUUACGUUAGCUAGAGUUUUACAGUUUAGAUGGGGUUUAGCUUUAUUAGAUUAGAUCUAAAACACCCUCUACGCCGGUUUCUAUUGGCUAGGGUUAAUCGUGUAACCGCGGUGGCUGGCACGAAAUUGACCAACCCCUAAGAUAGCAUAGCUUAGUUAAACUUUCGUUCAUUGCUAAAGAUUUGUCACUGCUGUCUCCCGUGGGGGUGUGGCUAGGCAAAGUGUUUUGAGCUGCAUGGGCGUGCUUGAUACUUGCUCCUCUUGGUCAUGUUGAUUGGGGGGGCGUCUUCACCGGAGCGGGGAUGCUUGCAUAUGUAAUCUUGCUAAGAGUCAAUAGAAAGGCCAGGACCAAGCCUAUGUGUCUAUGGGGUGUGCGAACCCAUCUAGGCAUUUUCAGUGUCUUGCUUUAGGUGGGUUUAAGCUACAUAAACGUCAGUGUGAGUGUGAUUGCGGGGCAAUUUCUUUUGGGUUGUGAGAGGGAGGGAGUGAAUUUGGUGGGGAAAAAAGUUGGUGUCAAGAGUGUUUGGUGAAGUAAAUUUAUAUUAGUUGAGGAAGUGGCAGUUGGAGUUGUGCACACCCAAAAGAUGAAAAUGCGAGCUCUGGUUGGGCAAGUUAAGGCUCUUGUUUUUGGGGUUUGGCAAGAGUGGGUUCAGGUAAAGGCCAGAGACGGGGGUGGGGGGGUUUGAAUGGAGCUUUAUUUUUGCUGUGGUUUGCGGCGUGGUGAGGGGGUUGCGGAGUUGGUUAUUAUUAUGUCUUACAAGCAUGAAUUAAAUAGCACCUUGGUAACUUCGCGGGGGACUGGAAUAUUGAACGUAGGUGCGAUGAAUGAUAAUAUGUACUAGGAAUCAAAGACAGGCGCAUUCAGGACGAGAUGGGGUGGGAGUCAGCAUUCUGCGAUGGGGUUGCGUGCGGACCAGAGAUAAAAGAUACCAAAUGCAUGGAGAGCUCCCGUGACUGGUUAAUAGGGUGAUAGACCCGUGAUCCAUCGAGAUGUCUUAUUUAAGGGAGCCCUCAUUUUUAAAUGCACUUGUUAAAGUACAGUGCUGUUCAUUCUGAAUGUUCCACUGUAAUUUUAAAUUAUUUUCUUUAGUAAGAUUAUGCCAUUUUUGUAAGUAUUCUUUGCUUCUGAGGCCUAAUAACUGUACACCUAAAGGUAGGCUUAGCUGGAAGGUGGAGCACUCAGUUCUUCAGAAAUUCUGGAUCCCAUUUUUAUGCUGAACCUUGGCACUGGUUCUGAGAUCCCCUUGAUCAACAUUGUCAGUGAUUUUUCUCUAGCUAGACUUGCAAGUGGAAAAAAAAAAAAAAAAAACAAAGAGAAUAGAACACAAAAUUCCCGCAAAUUUGCAAAAGUAGAGUUCGUACCCUCUGCAGUGAUUGCCGUUGACUGCCUGUUUCUGCCUGGUCUGGUCAGACAUUUGAGGCCUUUAACGGGAUCCAAUCUAGUAAGUUAUUGUAUCUGAUCCAAUCCUGGACCCAUUCCAGUUUUUAUGCCAACUUCUGAACUCAAUUUAGAUCAAAAAUUUGCCUAAACAAACUCAGCUCAAAACACAGGUCCAUGAAACUUCAGAAUCGGAGAAAUAACUUACCCAUGAUCCCCAGUCGCUGCAAGUGACCAAUGGACACGAUGACCCUGGAAGGUGUCUCGCUUGGUCAGUCAGUGCUCCUGAGGUCCCCUGAAGCUCUACUUUGAAUCCCACUUCUGAUGCCAUCUGUUAAAUGAAAAACUCUAGACAAAUUAACUUUGAUUUGAUCAAAAACCAAUUCCAGAAUGGGGCAG
rnacentral:lncRNA from 1 species